ensembl:lncRNA
AAAAAAAAAAAAAAAAACCUGCAACAACAAAAACAACAAACUAAGCUGGAGAAACUGUUAUAGGUAAGAGGAGACAGAAAAAGACAUUAAGUAAAUCUAUGGAAAUCUGAAUAAACUAUAGGUGUCAGUUAAUAAUAAUGUAUUAAUAUUGGUUCAUUAAUUAUAAGAAAUGUCCCUACCAAUAUAAGAUGGCAAUAAUAGGGAAAACUGGGGGGGGAGGGGCGUGUAUGGGAACUCUAUAAUAUGUUCCUGAUUUUUCUGUAAAUCUAAAGCAGUUUCCAAAAAUGAAGUCUACAUUUAAAAAAAUGUAAGCCAUGCUAAACCUAAACACAACUUCCUAAGAGUUAGAAUAAUUAUUGAUCUAAUUUAUAAAUAUCAGGGUUUUCUGGACGAAGAGGGUGUUCCUUACAAAUCUUUGCUAACUCCAGUCACUUCUUGAACAGGCAAGGAAUUAUUACACCUAAGUGGUUUCCUUGCCUCUGCUCUUGCCCCUCCUUCCCCUCCUCCUCAGCCUGAGUCAUUCUCUUAAAAAGGUAAAAUAAAAUCACGAAAAACUUUCCAACGGCUUCCCACCUCACAAGUAAGAGCCACAACUUCUUACAAAGUUCUCAAGGCACUACAUGAUCUAGUUGCUGCUCCCUUACACUUCUGAUUUUAGCUCCUAUUUUUUACUCCAGCCACACAGGUCUCUUGCCUCAUCCCUCAAACUCACUCCUCAUUUCCCCUUAGGUCUCUGCUUAAAUUUCACCUCACUCAAGAUUUCCCUGACUACUUCAUAUAAAACAACAUCCUUACUCUGUCCUCUCUCUCCACAUGCCCUAACCCUCUUUAUUUUUCUCCAUGCAUUAAUACUCAACAUACUAUAUAUAGUGUGCUAGUUUGCCCAGUAUGCACUGAAAGGUAAACUCCUUCAGGACAGAGCCUUUGCUUUAUUCACUGGUACAUCCCAAGCACCCAGAAUAGUAUGUGGUACACAGUAGGUACUCAUAAAUAAUUACAACCCAUGUACAGUUUUGGAAGAGAAAUCACCUUCAAGUUAGAGCUGAAUCAUCUCUCAAACUUUUACUGAGUGCCUACUUGACUAGGCAGGCAUUCUGCUAAGGACUAGGGACUCAGAAAUGAAAGAUUAAGCCAGUAGGUCAGUCCAUGCUAAUUAAAAACUGAAUUAUCUGAGACUUAAUAUUAUUAAUUUUAGGCAUUAUAUCAGGAUUUCAUAUAAGGCCAAAACCUACUUGAGCUACCAUCUAAUGAUGUUAAUUAUUGAAGCACAAAUCAAGAGAGCUCUACAUCAUAAGUCACAAAGAGCAAUACAGAGAAAUGGUGGGUUUUUUUUUUUUUUUUUGGAGACAGAGUCUUACACUGUCACCCAGGCUGGAAGUGAAACUCCAUCUCAAAAAAAAAAAUUAUAUUCAUCCAACCUUAGUGAUCAUUUUUAAUUUUUCAUGAACUAUGCAACACUACCAAAUAAGAAGGUGGUUUCUAGAUAAGCCUUGCUGUCAUGCAUGGCAUGUGUUCAAUCUCUUACGGUUGGCCCAUCUCCAUAUCCCACAUAAUAAUGUUUUUUAAAAAUCUGUAUGCUUUAUGGUUUUAAAAUCCAUUUCAGAAGGUAUUAAUCCCAGGAAUAAUAACCUGAUAGUCACUGGUCUGUUGAGAUUGCUUAUUUUUUAAACAAAAGCCAGAAUUUCUUUUUUGUAAUCCUAAAAGGAAAAAGCAUGCCUCAAAACAUGGUCUUGAUUUCUAAUUCCCACGUUUGGACCAGUACAGACUCUUCUUUGAAUAUAUGUACGUUUAUGUAAGAUAGGACCUAUGGUGGCCCAGCAUAGCCCUUCUUAAUCCCCAAGCCCUGGGUAGUCAUGGUAGGGAGAGAAUAGUAAACUUUUACCAUCACCUUACAUACUCCAAGUAUUACCUCAGCUAAAGCCUAGAGAAGAAUGAACCAAAUGAACGAAGUUUCAAUCUUCAUAUUCCCAGCCUAGCAUAAAACAAAUCUUCCAUCUCCUCCCCACACACUCAUGAAUAAGGUAUGAAAUUGAGGACAAGGAAGGUUAGAAUUUUGCAAAGGGAAGUAUCAUCUUCUUUCAGUCACUGUCACAUUUUUAAAAAAUUUAUAAUUUCCUCAAAAAACCAAAACAGGCCAGGUGCAGUGGCUCACACCUAUAAUCCCAGCACUUUGGGAGGCCAAGGCUGGAGGACUGUUUGAGUCCAGUAAUUCAAGAUCAGCCUGGGCAACAUAGUGAGACUCCAUCUCUACAAAAAAUAAUUAGCUGGGCAUAGUGGCACCUGUGGUCCCAGCUACUCAGGGGGCUAGGGUGGGAGGAUGGCUUGAGCUCAGCAGGUCAAGGCUACAGUUAGCUGUGAUCGGGCUGCUGCACUUCAGCUUGGGCAACAGAGUGAGACUAUCUCAAAAACAAAAACAACAACAAAAAACUAAAACAAACCAGCAAAGAUUAGUUAUCUGGUUAUCACUUUCUAUACUGUUUAAGUGUGAACAUUUUUUAGUCAACUUCACUAUAACAAAGAAAAUUAAUUUCUAAAGCCGAUAUAGCCAAGGCAAAAAAAUUCAUCUAAAAUGUCCACUCAUGCAGUGAAGACAGUAUAUGACUGUAAGAUAAAAUGCUUUUAAAUAUGUGCUCUUAUGGUUCAUAUCCAGAUAUGAAUAACAUAUAAACCUACUCCUUGAUGCGUAAGAAAUAAAACACAUUCCAGGUUUAAAAAUCAAUUAGCAAAUGUUUCAUAAAAUACGUUAAAUCUGAGAAAACAAACCAGUACUUGCACACAAGUAAUAAGUUACUUAAACACUGAAUAAAUGAUUUUGCCUUAAGGAGUCAUAUCACUUUGUCCUUUUUGUGUUAAAUAAUUUGGUCACUAAUGCCUAGAAUGUAAUAAAAAUAGAAUUCUCUUCAAGCUUUGAAAAUAUUGUUACAGUUUUAGGUAUAUCAGCUUUUCACAGGUGAGAAAGAUAAAUAUUCUGGAUUGGAAGUUAGGAGCCCCAAAUUCCAGUCCUGCUUCUGCAAAUAAAUGCUACAAGACUUUGAGCAAAAUACAUACUCUUGUAGAAUACUUGUUUUCCUACUUAUAAAGCCUAAUGUUCUUUGUAGUUCUAAUAUUCUCAGUUAAGAUUAAUAUUUUUACUUCAUUUAGCACACAGUAUUCUUUGGUAUAAAAUCUGAACAGAAAUAAACACUAAGUCCACUGAAUUAAGUCUGCACGGAACUCUAGCAUAUACCUAUCCCAUUCAUACCUAAAUGCCAAAUAUUUUUAAAUCUUUAUUUUGUUUUAGUUAAUCCAGUUUGAUAAGUUAAAAGUAAAAACAUGUAGCCUAAGAAUAAUCAGCUCUUAUUAAGAAAUUAUUUAUCAUGAAUUUUAAAAAAUAAACUAGGGAACUUUGAAACAACUGUGUAACAGCUGUAUAAAAGCACAGCUCUGCAAACAAAGCUACAGGAUUCAAAUCCAGUUCUAUAUAAAUUCUGUGACUUAGAGGCUAGCCACACAGAUAAUUAGUUAGAUUUAACCAAGUCUCCGUUUCCUCAACAGUAAAAUAUGGGUAAUAGUAACACCUACCUUCAUCAGGUUGUUGUGAGAAUAAACAAUAAAGCAUAUAUGGUCAGCAGCAACUAGCACAGUCCAGCAACUGGCACAUAAUGAAUGCUGAAUCAAUGCUAUUAUUAUUGCAUCUAAAGGUGAGGUCUGCAUUUAUACAAAUGACAUUUAUUGACUGCCAAGUGUUAUGCUAGGGACUAGAGAAAUAAAACAGCAUAAGUAAAUAAACAUAACACAAUCUGGGAAGACUUCCUCUAGGACAUGACAACUGAGUAUUAAAAGGAAGAGGAGAGGCCGGGCGCAGUGGCUCACGCCUGUAAUCCCAGCGCUUUGGGAGGCUGAGGUGGGCAGAUCACAAGGUCAGGAGAUUGAAACCAUCCUGGCUAACAUGGUGAAACCCCGUCUCUACUAAAAAAAAUUCAAAAACUUAGCUGGGCGUGGUGGCGGGCCCCUGUAGUCCCAGCUACUCAGGAGGCUGAGGCAGGAGAAUGCUGUGAACCCGGGAGGCGGAGCUUGCAGUGAGCUGAGAUGGAGCCACUGCACUCCAGCCUGGGGGAUAAAGCGAGACUUCAUCUCAAAACAAAACAAAACAAAGGAAGAGGAGAAAUUAUCCAAGGAAAGAAAAAGAAGGUUUCAAGGAGACAAAAUCACAUAUACAAAGACCUAGAAAUAUUCCUAACAUGGCACAUUAGAACUGUAGUAAUUCAGCAUGGUUGUAUUGGAGAAUAGGGAUAUGAGGUAGACGGGAAUCAAACAAUGGAAUAUUAUAUACCAAAAUAAGGAUCUCACAUUUUAUCUUCAAGGGAAUCAAGAGCGUCUCAAGAAUUUUAGUAAGAGUUAAAUUUAUACUUUUUUGAGACAGGGUCUUG